GAUACCCCUGGUAGUCCACGCCGUAAACGAUGUCGACUAGCCGUUGGGACCUUUAAGGACUUAGUGGCGCAGUUAACGCGAUAAGUCGACCGCCUGGGGAGUACGGCCGCAAGGUUAAAACUCAAAUGAAUUGACGGGGGCCCGCACAAGCGGUGGAGCAUGUGGUUUAAUUCGAUGCAACGCGAAGAACCUUACCUACCCUUGACAUCCAGAGAACUUGGCAGAGAUGCCUUGGUGCCUUCGGGAACUCUGAGACAGGUGCUGCAUGGCUGUCGUCAGCUCGUGUUGUGAAAUGUUGGGUUAAGUCCCGUAACGAGCGCAACCCUUGUCCUUAUUUGCCAGCACGUAAUGGUGGGAACUCUAAGGAGACUGCCGGUGACAAACCGGAGGAAGGUGGGGACGACGUCAAGUCAUCAUGGCCCUUACGGGUAGGGCUACACACGUGCUACAAUGGCCGGUACAAAGGGUUGCGAGACCGCGAGGUGGAGCGAAUCCCAGAAAGCCGGCCUCAGUCCGGAUCGGAGUCUGCAACUCGACUCCGUGAAGUCGGAAUCGCUAGUAAUCGUGAAUCAGAAUGUCACGGUGAAUACGUUCCCGGGCCUUGUACACACCGCCCGUCACACCAUGGGAGUGGACUGCACCAGAAGUGGUUAGCUUAACUUCGGGGGAGCGAU
rnacentral:rRNA from 1 species